UUUAUACUCCCUCAGUCUCAUAAUUCCUGUCGAAAUAUAUAUUACAUGUAUCUAGACGUUUUUAAAAAAUAGAUACAUCCAUAUUUGAGCAAAUUUGAGACAAGAAUUAUGUGACGGAGGGAGUAAUAA
rfam:Brachypodium distachyon strain Bd21 chromosome 2, whole genome shotgun sequence.